rnacentral:lncRNA from 1 species
CUUAUUCUUUUGCAACGAAAGCAUUUUAAAUAAUGCUAGUACACGGGUGGAUGGUUCCGGCUAUAUAGUCAAGAUUUUUAAAAACUUCAUAGUGCCUUCAGUCAGAAUAGAGUUGUAGAGAGAAUGAUGUAACCGAAAACCACAAGAAAGAAGAGACUUAUACUACAGCAAACAAAAAAAAUCAUUUGUCUAUAAAUUUCAACAUGAAAAUAACACUGUUUUAUGUGUUUGUAUUUUGGACUAUAUGUUUGAUCACUUCGCAUAAAAUUCCACCACAGUAUUUUAGUAAGUAUUAUAGUUUUAUUCUAAUUUUGAAAUGAGGUUAGAUUUAUACGAUAUAUUGUAAAAAUAACGUGUUUGCAAUAAAAGUUUUUUUAAUGCAUCCACAUCAUUUCAGUGUAUUACCUUUUUGAAUUGUGCGACCGCAUCCGUGUUACUAAAAUCUAUCAUCUUUUGGAAUUAUGUAUCGACAUCAUUCAAAUUGAUAUAUCAUUUUGUAUUUGUGUCUGCGUUAUCCAAUUCAUCAUUUGUCGUAUAAUGCAUACACAUGAUUCCGAAGGAGUAAGUUUUGUUACUAUGCUUUCGCGGUUUCCAGAAAUUCACAAAUCCGUACUUCUUCCUUUUUGUAUUAAAAGAAAGACAAUAAAACUCCCGUCGUUAUACUGGGUAUCUAAACUCAGUAAUCUUUUAACAGAACAAUAUAUAGCCCGCUUGUCAAACUGGUAAACAAUUAAUUAAAUUAUCUAUCGCCUCCUGGAAGACAAAAAGUAGAAGUACAACAGCUUGCAAUGUCUUGUCACCCCAGAACUUACAUGCUAGUGAGGACGUAUAUCACAUAAAUCCCAGUGAACAUAUAGAAUACUACCGAAACUAAUGUUCUGCUUCAUAUUUACAUCGAUGGUGAUAUCCAUGAAUGCUUUCAAAUUGGAAUAUAUGACACAUCUGAAGAUUUCAACUUUCCAAUCACUAACUUUUCAUUUUAUCAUAAGUAACUAAUUUUAGGUCCCAUCGCAUGGAAUUAAUAUAUUAUCUCAAGUGGUACAUUACGCCCGUGCACGUUCACAAUAUACAUACUGCAUGAGCAGAUGUAUGCUUUUAAAAUGUUUAUGAUAUAUCUAUAAUAAUAUUAAGCAUAGUAUGCUGCCUAUGUUGUUUAUUUACAGUACUUUUAGAAGGCCAUAACUGUGUUGAUAUUACUUGAAAUAUAACAUUUUUAUUCAAUGAUAUAUAUGAAGAAAAAAAUUGCAGUUAAGAACUAACCGCUUCUUUUUGUAAAUUUAUUUGGUUGUAAUAUAAAACGUGCGGUAUGGGCUUUGCUCAUUGUUGAAGGCCGUACGGUGACCUAUAGUUGUUAAUUUCUGUGUUAUUUUGGUCUUUUGUGGAUAGUUGUCUCAUUGGCAAUCAUACCACAUCUUCUUUUUUAUAUUGGCCGAUGUACAUUUGUAUGAAGGGCGGAAAUGACUAAGAGUAGCUUUCAAUACUUAUAAUUACAUUAUUUUAGGUGAAUCCUAAACACACGAUUUCUGUAAAGUUUUUCUUUAAUUUUCCUGUGUACUUUAUCGUGGAAGCUCGAAUCAUCAUGCAUAUUACAUUUCAUUUUGAAAUGAAGGUAAAUUUCAUAAUGACGCGAGAUUGAUGUUAGCACAUCAGAAUAACGUAUUGUAAUUAAAAAUGUAUAUGUAAUGUAAUUAUUAAAAAAAAAUGAUCUGUGUAAUAUUUAUUUCAUACAGACAAAUAACCAAAUAUAGGCUUGAUAUUUUCAAUGAUUUGUUAGUACUAAAUGGUACUAUACUAAUGAGAUAUAGUAAAAAGGAAGGAAGAAAAUACUUUUAUAUUAGUCCACUAAGAACAUAUGGGAAAAUAUAAAAUCUUUAGAAAAAAAUUCAAUUGUUAAACUAUAAACCAUUUUUGUUUUACAACAAGUAUUUGAUUACAAAUAAAGUUGUCUUUAUAUUAAAUUGCAUGAACGGAUGUAUCGGAUGACCCUUGCAUGACAAAUCUUAUCGAGAGAAAAAAGGAUUGUGUUACCAUAAUAUUAUGCCCAAAGAUAUAAUUUAAAUGUCCCAUCAACAGGUAUGUAGUUUCUAUGAUUUUGAAUAAGUACAUACAACUUUUGAUAAUGAAUAUUUUUUUUUUUGCGUCAUGCAUUUAUACAAAGUAAUUUAAACAUUUGUUUAAAAAAACAAUCCUGUUAUUAUUUUGAGUUAUUCUUUAGUUUCAAAAUAAACCAGAUUAAAGUUGAAGCAACUAUAUCAAAGACAACAGAACAUAACCAACAAUCUAUUGAUAGUCCAUACAAUGUCUUAAGGUAGAUUGAUGGUAUACCGCCAUCUUGGAUUGUACAAUUACAGUACAAAAUCGGUCUAGUUAUUUGCCUAACUCUGCAAAUUUAGACACAGAUUUGCAAUUCAAUAGUUAGACUGUUUUUUCUAUUUGAAGAAAACUUGUUAAUUAAUCGUAUUAUACAAAAUAUUUUAACAAAUAUCAAUUUUUUGGUUUUAAAAUAAAAAAAAAUACAAUAAGCCAUUUAAGGGGAGAUAACUCUUUUAGUACAAAAUUUCUUUUUAUUUUCUUAAAACAUAUUAUAAAACCUUUCUUCUCACAAUUUAUUUCAAAAUUCUAUUUCAUAGAAUUUUUUUUAUGCACACUAAUGUGUUUUUAUAUGAACAAACUAACCAAAUUUUGGCUAUUUUCAACGACUCAUAGCUUGAAAAAUAGCACGGUGACCUAUUCUUUUUACUUAAUUUUUGAAAAGAGCAUAGUAAAAUCUUUAUUUUGGCAAAUUAUAAAAAAAUUCUGUCUCAAAAAAUAUAUACUUGUGAUCUACCUUAAAAUUAUUACAUUUACAUGAAUAGAUCACGGUAAUUCUUUAGAUUCAAUCGAAUCUGUGUUAGAACGAUUUUUAACAAACAUGUAUGAACAAAACACACGAUGUAAAUAACUAUUUUUAAUUCCGACUGUGGUAGCUCGUUUCUAAAAAGGUGUCAAUUACAAUUUAAAAAGAAUUAAUCACCUUUAAAUGUUCACCUACUACACCAUAAAGGUAAAAGAGGGACAAAAGAUACCAAAGGUACAGUCAAACUCAUAAAUCUAAAACCAACUGACAACGCCAUGGCUAAAAAUGAAAAAGAGAAAUAGACAAACAACAGUACACAUGACACAACAUAGAAAACUAAAGAAUAAACAACACGAACCUCUCAGGUGCUCCGGAAGGAUAAUAACAUAUUAGUCAGAUGCAUGUUACAGCAGAGAAAAGUAAUGGUGAUAGAGAAUAUUUAAAAGUUUUACAUUCCUGUAAAAGUGAGAAACAAUAAAAAGUACUAAUUGUAAAUAGUUAUCAAAAGUACCCGGAUUAUAAUGUAGUACGCCAGGCGCACGUUUCGUCUACAUAAGACUCAUCAGUGACGCUCAUAUCAAAAUAAUUAUAAAGCCAAACUAGUACAAAGUUAAAGAGCAUUGAGGAUCCAAAAUUCCAAAAAGAUGUGCCAAAUACGGCUAAGUUAAUCUAUUCCUGGGACAAGAAAAUCCCUAGUUCUUCGAAAAAUUCAAAGUUUUGUAAACAGGAAAUUUAUAAAAAAAAUGACCACAUAAAAUGAUAAAUGCCAUUGUGUGAUUGGAAGAGGCCUUUGCUGUUACAUUCAUGUUCACCGAAUCCACCCAAAUUCUAAUAUUUCAUUUAUAACAUAAUAACACGUAUAUAAAAACUAGAAAACGUCUGAAAUAAAUAAUCUACUAUUCUUGAACUCAAAAUGUGUACCAGCAUUUCGUGUUUAUUUGAGUAUAGACGAAAUCUAACUAACCAUCAAAGUGACCUUCCGACUUCUGACAGUCAUAAAACACGGCAAAAAGAUAGAUAUAAAUAGAUAGCUAUUCGCGUGCAAUUGAUUUUUUCUAGGUCUGUUUGAUUUCAUAUUAUAGGUUAAACAGCAUGUUAACAAUAGUCUUUACUUGUAUAAGAAUAAGUUUUUGUAAAACAAGUAACCAAAAAAAAAUUGAAGUCCGAGGAAAAUUCAAAACGGAAAGACCUUAAUUAAAUUACAAAAUCAAAAGCUCAAACGCAUCAAACGAAUGGAUUACAAUUUUCAUAUUCUUGACUUGGUGCAGCCAUUGUUUAGCUAGAAAAAAUGGAUUAAACCUAGUUUAAUAGCUUGCUAAACCGCUCACUUGUAUGACAUUCGCAUAUUAUUCUAUUGACACCGUCUUAUUUACCAAUCAAUAACCCAAUCACAUUGAAUUUGACUUAAUCAGGAACACUAACAGCAAAAUAUGUGAAAGCAAAAGAUGAAUAAGUACAGAAACAUGUGAAAAGUAAAUAUGCCCAAAAGGGACCUCAAGUUACAUGUAAGGUCAACUUUGUCUGAGAGAGUUUUUUUGAACAUUUGAUCGGACAAUGUCAGUAAGGUAUGCUAGUUGCAAGCAUUUUCGAAGUCUGGAGAAUCCCGGUGAACAAGUUGUAAACUUCGUUUAGAAUUCCGCUUGGUUAUUCACAUAUGGAGUAUAAGUCUAUAAUGUUAAUUAAUGAAACGGGUUUAUAUAACAUAGGUGUUGAAACGAUUUUAUUUGGGAAAUUUUACGUUGCUUAUAAUGCGCAUAUUUAUCUUUGUCGAACUUCAAUAAAAGUUAAAUGUUAAGGAUCAAUUAAAUUACGAACAUAUUUACUAGCUUUAAGUUACAUUUAAAACGUUGAUAUCGCUUUUUUAAUUGAUGUAUGUGCACAAAAGACCUCAAUGAUAUCGCCAAUGACAUUUGGGUUUUUUGACAUGUGUACAUAUAUUUGUAUAUAUAUAUAUUUUUAAGUUUGAAAGCCCUUCCUCAAUGAAAACAAUAUUCAUGGCCAUUUUAAUCACAUUCAAAAUUAUUUGACUUCCGUGAUUUUGAAAGAGUCAAAUUUAUUAAAGAGGCUAUGUGCAGGGACCUUUUUUGAGACUUAUAGUGUAUAAAAGCUUGAUAUCGACUAGUCUUGGUUGGCUUAGAUGCACUUGGUGGGAUAGAUAGAAAAUUCGGAAAAUCACAUGCACUAAAAUUUCGUUUUUCAGGAAAUACCAAAGAUGUAAAUAAUUUGAAUGAACUAGAACAGCUUCUAAAAGAACGAACAAAUGUAAGUAUUAUAUGUUAAAAAAUAUCUAGCACGUACAUGCAGUACUAUAACACAGUUUAAACGAGAAUGUAAGUACUAGACACAACUUAAUAUGAUAUAAUGCACUUAAAAGACAAAUAACCUGAAUGAAAGAAUAUGUAAGUACGACAUACCAAAACAAUAAUAAACUGUGAAGCUUAAAAAGAUAACAUGCAGGUUCAAAGGCAGCAAUCAAAUGAUAGAACUGCUAGAGAGCAGACUUAUGAUACAAGAUGCAAGGACAAGACAACAACCAAACAUAAGUAUUGUUAGACUACAGAAUAUCAUUUCAGUAAACCAUAAUGUAAUAACAAUAUUAAAACAAAGGGAUUUAGUAUGAUUGUAAAUGUGAAAUCUAUUCAGAAUGAUAAAAAGGUUAGGAUGUAAACAUAUACUGGUCACCAUGGGUCAACGAGACAACUAGCCAAUCUGACUAAAGGGCAAGCUUAGAAACUACAGUCAAUCAACAACAAAACACACAUGGUACGAUUUACAAUUCACAAAAUAUUUAUUUAUUCCAAAUAGGUAUAUAAAUUUUAUGUAAUUAAUCAUGUUAAUUUGGUUUUACUUUUUUUUUUUAUUAACGCAGAAUAAGGCAAUUUUGACAUCUAGAUUUCUAUUCAAAAAACAUAAAAAUGUUAAAGCAAUUUGCUGUAAACCAAUCUUUUCAAAACUGUCAUAUACGCUAGAUAAUUUGAUAAUACCAUUUAGAACAAACACUUUUUUUCCUGAUUUGAUACUAAUUUUUUUUUCUCAAUUUUAUUUUAUUUGACCAUUUUGCAUUGUUACGAAAGGGAUAUUCUCAAUAUACAAAAAGUCACAUAUAUAAUAACAUAUUUUACAGGAAGGAAAAGAUCAAAAGGAGGCAGAAGAAGCAAGGAAGACUUCUCUGCACACAGAAGAAGAAAUGAAGGUAAAGAUGAUGAAAAACACAUGUUCAACGGUUUUUGGUUACCUUUUGCAGAUACAGUUUUUGAAUAAAAAUUGUUUUAACUAUGUCUUUACUAUGUAAUUAAGAUCAUGAAACACUUUAGUGAUAGUUUGACCUACUUAAAUGUUUGUUUAAAAAAAAAAUCAUGAAAUAUAAAGAAAGGAAAACGAUUUGCUUUCACUGUUUGUGUUUUGAUUUUUCUACAUAACUGUUUUUAGGAGGAACAAGAAAAUAGUGAUGAUGAAGAAGAAAUAGAAAGAGCUUCACAGGGAGCGGAUGAAAGGGAGAUGAAUGAUUACGAUAGAAUAAAGGUUUGGAUUUAUUUUAUGG